AAGACCUUGCGCUUUUGGAGCGGCCGAUGUCUGAUUAGCUAGUUGGUAGGGUAAUGGCCUACCAAAGCUUCGAUCAGUAGCUGGUCUGAGAGGACGACCAGCCACACUGGGACUGAGACACGGCCCAGACUCCUACGGGAGGCAGCAGUGGGGAAUUUUGGACAAUGGGCGCAAGCCUGAUCCAGCCAUGCCGCGUGAGUGAAGAAGGCCUUCGGGUUGUAAAGCUCUUUCAGCCGGGAAGAAAAGGCUACGACGAAUAAUCGUAGCUCAUGACGGUACCGGAAGAAGAAGCACCGGCUAACUACGUGCCUGCAGCCGCGGUAAUACGUAGGGUGCGAGCGUUAAUCGGAAUUACUGGGCGUAAAGGGUGCGCAGGCGGUUUUGUAAGUCAGAUGUGAAAUCCCCGGGCUUAACCUGGGAACU
rnacentral:rRNA from 1 species